GUCAUAUUAUAUUAUUUUUAUUUAUUUUUAUCUCAACAAAAGCCAUCCCUUCGCAAAUCACCAUUUUUCGACACGUCACCUUUUUCAGCAAUGCUUUUCUUCAUGGGUGAAUCCACGGCCAUGUUUGCUCUCUUUGUUUUCUCAUCAAGUUCCUCUCUUUACAAAUCAGACAAAAUAUCAAUUACAAUAGGAUCAUUUUUCUCAACAACUCAUUUUCACCCUCGCAUUCCGAAUUCGAGUCCUCAAAAUCCCUAGCUUUUUUCUCCAAAGAGUUUUGACUCAAUCCCCAAUCUAAAACCCUAUUUUUCUUCAAAUCAACAAAUCCACUUUCGGAAGUUCCCCCAUCAGGGUCAUCUGUUCCUGCACCGCCUCCCAAUACAGCCAACUAGCCAAGUUUGAUGGCCUCAAGCUCUC
rnacentral:lncRNA from 1 species